CCUACGGGAGGCAGCAGUGGGGAAUAUUGGGCAAUGGGCGCAAGCCUGACCCAGCAACGCCGCGUGAAGGAUGAAGGCUUUCGGGUUGUAAACUUCUUUUAAGAGGGAAGAGCAGAAGACGGUACCUCUUGAAUAAGCCACGGCUAACUACGUGCCAGCAGCCGCGUUAAUACGGAGGUGGCAAGCGUUGUCCGGAUUUACUGGGUGUAAAGGGCGUGUAGCCGGGCUGGCAAGUCAGUUGUGAAAUUCCGGGGCUCAACCCCGGACCUGCAUUUGAAACUGUUGGUCUUGAGUGUCGGAGAGGCAGGCGGAAUUCCUAGUGUAGCGGUGAAAUGCGUAGAUAUUAGGAGGAACACCAGUGGCGAAGGCGGCCUACUGGACGACAACUGACGGUGAGGCGCGAAAGCGUGGGGAGCAAACAGGAUUAGAUACCCCGGUAGUC
rnacentral:rRNA from 1 species